CAUUUAAAUAGAGAACACAUUCCAGGAAAUGUUCACUGAGCGGCAUCAGUGCCCACAGAUCCUGAGCUGAGAUUCUCUAUCACUCCACACACCAGACAUGAAGACUCUCUUGGGGUUACUCAGUGCUGUCCUGUCUCUACAAUGUGUCACUUCACAGAUCUCUAUGGUGGAGUCUGGUCCUGGGAUUGUGAGACCAUCAGAGACUCUGGACAUGACCUGUAAAGUGACUGGAGCCUCCCUGACUGACAGCACUAACAUGUAUUGUGUACACUGGGUCCGACAACCUGCAGGGAAAGGUCUGGAGUGGUUGGGGGCAAUAUGUUAUGAGAAUAGCAAAUAUUACGGUCAGUCUGUCCAGGGACGAUUAACUCUCUCAAGAGACACAAAUAAAGGAGAAGUUUAUUUCAAACUCACUGGAGUGAAACUUGAAGAAUCUGGGAAAUAUUAUUGUGCUAGACAGAAACACAGUAUAACAGUGUAA